rnacentral:lncRNA from 1 species
GCGCUCAGAGGUCGUGUGAUGUGCCAGCUCAAUUAAUGAGCCACCAUCCAACGUCUCUCCUUUUUUCCUUUUUUUAAUUUCUGAUUUCUAUUUUCUUUAUUUCUUUUAAUCCCCUUUUAUUUCAAAAAUCAAUAUCUUCUUUAUUUUUAAUCCAAAAAUUAUGGGACCAAUUGCAUUAGUCUCCAAAUAAUUUCUAGUUUCUAUUUCUGAUUUUUAAUAUUUUUU